rnacentral:rRNA from 1 species
AGCUCCAAUAGCGUAUAUUAAAGUUGUUGCAGUUAAAAAGCUCGUAGUUGGAUUUUGGAUUGCGUCUAACGGUCGGUCGUAAGACUGUACUGUUGGGUGCUUUCUUCUUCCCGAAGAUCAUGUGUGCUCUUAACUGAGUGUGCAUGAGGUUCGGGACUUUUACUGUGAGAAAAUUAGAGUGUUCAAAGCAGGCGUUUGCUUGAAUAUUGCAGCAUGGAAUAAUGGAAUAGGAUCCCGAUCUUAUUUUGUUGGUUUCUAGGAUCGAGAUAAUGAUUAAUAGGGAUAGUUGGGGGCAUUAAUAUUUAAUUGUCAGAGGUGAAAUUCUUGGAUUUAUGAAAGAUUAACUUCUGCGAAAGCAUUUGCCAAGGAUGUUUUCG